GGUAUGAACCUCAGUUUGAUCUGCAAUAACCAGAAAGCACCUUCUAGCUCCACUAGAGGGCGACAUGAUCCAGUAGGCGGUGCUCUACCUGUGCUCUGUGCUCCAGCAUUGUGUCAAUAAUAAGUGGUGCUGUGAAGAGAACAAUUGUCAGACUGAAUGUUGAACAUCAGCUAGUUUCUCCUGCUGAUUUAAACCUUGUUGGACAGAUGGAACAUUGGCUGUGGAUUAUUCUUGCUGCUCUUUUCUUUGAGUGUAAAGGAGACACAGUGAAGCAGCCAGAAGGAGAUGUUGUUGCUGCUGAAGGAGAAACACGGAUUCUGGAAUGUACUUAUGAGAGCAGUCUAAGUGUCACAUUGUUCUGGUAUAAGCAAGAAGGAAACAGUUCUCCAAAGUACAUGCUGAAACAGCUGUCAUCAUCCAAAUAUAAAGCUCCAGAUUUCAACAUUAGCAGAUUUGACGCCGACCUCAACAGUAACAAGAAAUCAUUUAAUCUGAAGAUCCAGGAUCUCCAUCUGUCUGACUCUGCUGUGUACUACUGUGCUCUGCAGCCCACAGUGACAGGAAACACCAGAACUCUGAACAAGAACCUGCAGAGUAAAGACAAGACAAUGCUCCACAACAGCCACUAGAGGGCCUCAUACAGUCUUCCACCUCUAUAGGUUUCUUAUAUUACACCAAACCAAACAUCAUCGUGUUCUUGUUCUGAGGUUCUUUCUCUUCUUGGUUGCUGAGAUAAACUGUAGAAGAUUCCAUGUUGAACAGAGGAAGGUGAUUGGCCAGUGGAGGGUGAUGUUCUUCUCUAAGAGUCCUUUAUGAUUAGGACUCUCCUGUCCUGGAUCCAUUCAGGGUCCCAUUAGUGACCAAAUAUCUGCUUAGAGCUACUAAGCGUUCAGUAAUGAAUCAGUUCUCAACACCACAUGGUGUUUCAGUU